UUGAGAAACGGCUACCACAUCCAAGGAAGGCAGCAGGCGCGCAAAUUACCCAAUCCGGACACCGGGAGGUAGUGACAAGAAAUAGCAAUAGAGGGCCCGAUGGGUUUUCUAAUUGGAAUGAGAACAAGGUAAACAGCUUAUCGAGGAGCCAGCAGAGGGCAAGUCUGGUGCCAGCAGCCGCGGUAAUUCCAGCUCUGUAAGCGUAUACCAAAGUUGUUGCAGUUAAAACGCUCGUAGUCGGAACUUGGCGGGCGACGCAGGGCGUCUUUGCGGACGGAUCUGUAUCGGCCGCCUUUGUGGAGGGGGGCUUAGCGGUGCUUUAUUGCCUUGCUAAGUCGCUGCCACCGUUUACUGUGAAAAAAUUGGAGUGUUCAAAGCAGGCGUUUGCCUUGUACACAUUAGCAUGGAAUAAUAGAAUAGGACCUGGUUCUGUUUUGUUGGUUUGUGAGAAUUAGGUAAUGAUUAAGAGGGACGGUUGGGGGCAUUUGUAUUCUGCCGUCAGAA
rnacentral:rRNA from 1 species